ACAGCCAUAAACAUAAAUAAUUAAUAACAUUAUUAUUCGCCAGAGAACUACAAGCCACUGCUUAAAACUCAAAGGACUUGGCGGUGCUUUAUAUCCACCUAGAGGAGCCUGUUCCAUAACCGAUGAUCCCCGAUUUACCUUACCACUCCUUGCUAAUUCAGCCUAUAUACCGCCAUCUUCAGCUAACCCUAAAAAGGAACUAAAGUAAGCUAAAUGAGUAAUACUAAAGAAGUUAGGUCAAGGUGUAGCCCAUGGAGUGGGGCGAGAUGGGCUACAUUUUCUAUACUUAGAACAUUACGAAACCCUAUAUGAAAUCUAUAGGAUAAAGGAGGAUUUAGUAGUAAAUUAAAACUAGAGUGUUUAAUUGAAUAGAGCAAUGAAGCACGC
rnacentral:rRNA from 1 species